rnacentral:lncRNA from 1 species
GAAUGGUCAAGAUUUGUUUCCUCCUUAGGUGCGAUCGGACAGACGAGAUUGAUCGCAAUGGACGACUUAGAUCAACGGAGGAUGGAUAUAAAUACUUCACAUCACACGGGAGCCAAAACCCUAGUCGCCAGGACUUGCCGGAGAAGAAGAACUAGAUAUCGGAGAAGGAGGCCGAUCGCCGACCUUCAUCGCACUAGAGCCACCGCUGGCCACCAAAAAAGGUAAAAAUUCUCCUUACCU